AAUUGACCUUUAGACAAUGUUCUGUAUGAAUCCUUAUCUCUCCAGGGCUGCUGCUUUAUAAACCACAGUUCUCAGCUCAGCACACUUAGAAACAUUGCUUGUUUCAACUUCUUUUCAGUCUGCUUUGGAACAGCGAUGCUGCCUGAUUCAACUUCAGCUUUCCUUCUCCUAAGCGUCCUCCUUGUUCACUCCUCUGUUCUGUCAUGUCGGACUGGGACCCAAAUAGAGUGUGAUGCUGCUCCUUUUGUACCAGGACACAACCUGAUGGGGCAAGGUUUUGAUAUAGUCACACUGGAGAGGAAAAGAGCUCACGUGAUUGAUGUGAAGACUUACCUGACCGCUAGACACAGCUGUAUUCUCUGCUCCAACCCUCUUCAAAACGAUGUCUACCAAAAACUUCCAUCUUCUGUUGUGGACUUCCAUGCCAUCCCUCGAUGUAAUCCUGAAAUACACAACAGUUUUCAUACUUCUG